UGGGAGUGCUGUAUACCAGGAAUCAUGAGAUUCGGAAAGCUGUGAAUCAGCUGGCUGUCUUCCACGGCUGUCCUGGGCCCGUGCAGCAUGUUCUCAGUCAAUUCAUUAGUGACAGAGAUUGGUUGGACAACGUGUUUUUUCCUACCAACAAAAAGCGACUUAGAGAAGCACAGAAUAUUCUUGUGGAUGGACUUGCAGAUGUUGGAAUACCUGUGCUCAAAAGUUCGGGAGGACUGUACGUGUGGGCAGACUUCAGAAAAUUCUUGAAAUCACAGACAUUUGAAGCUGAACUUGAAUUAUGGCAGAAGCUCCUUGAUGAAAAACUCCUGAUUAGUCCUGGAAAAGCUUUUCAUUGUUAUGAACCUGGAUGGUUUAGAUU